rnacentral:rRNA from 1 species
UACGAAGGGGGCGAGCGUUGUUCGGAUUUACUGGGCGUAAAGGGCGCGCAGGCGGCUAUCCAAGUCAGGCGUGAAAGCCCCGGGCUUAACCUGGGAACUGCGUCUGGGACUGGGUGGCUAGAGUUCGGGAGAGGAGAGUGGAAUUCCCAGUGUAGAGGUGAAAUUCGUAGAUAUUGGGAAGAACACCGGUGGCGAAGGCGGCUCUCUGGA